rnacentral:rRNA from 1 species
UACGAAGGGGGCUAGCGUUGCUCGGAAUGACUGGGCGUAAAGGGCGCGUAGGCGGUUUGCCCAGUCAGAUGUGAAAUUCCUGGGCUCAACCUGGGGACUGCGCUUGAGACGUGUGGGCUUGAGUGGGGAAGAGGGUCGUGGAAUUCCCAGUGUAGAGGUGAAAUUCGUAGAUAUCAGGAGGAACACCGGUGGUGUAGACGGCUCACUGGACCAUAACUGACGCUGAGACACGAAAGCGUGGGUAGCAAACAGG